rnacentral:rRNA from 1 species
GAUGAACGCUGACAGAAUGCUUAACACAUGCAAGUCGACUCGAGUCUUCGGACUUGGGUGGCGCACGGGUGAGUAACGCGUAAAGAACUUGCCUCUUAGACCGGGACAACAUCUGGAAACGGAUGCUAAUACCGGAUAUUAUGGUUUUUUCGCAUGGAGGAAUCAUGAAAGCUAGAUGCGCUAAGAGAGAGCUUUGCGUCCCAUUAGCUGGUUGGUGAGGUAACGGCCCACCAAGGCAAUGAUGGGUAGCCGGCCUGAGAGGGUGAACGGCCACAAGGGGACUGAGACACGGCCCUUACUCCUACGGGAGGCAGCAGUGGGGAAUAUUGGACAAUGGACCACAAGUCUGAUCCAGCAAUUCUGUGUGCACGAUGACGUUUUUCGGAAUGUAAAGUGCUUUCAGUCGGGAAGAAGUCAGUGACGGUACCGACCGAAGAAGCGACGGCUAAAUACGUGCCAGCAGCCGCGGUAAUACGUAUGUCGCAAGCGUUAUCCGGAUUUAUUGGGCGUAAAGCGCGUCUAGGCGGCAAGGAAAGUCUGAUGUGAAAAUGCGGAGCUCAACUCCGUAUGGCGUUGGAAACUGCCUUACUAGAGUACUGGAGAGGUAGGCGGAACUACAAGUGUAGAGGUGAAAUUCGUAGAUAUUUGUAGGAAUGCCGAUGGGGAAGCCAGCCUACUGGACAGAUACUGACGCUCAAGCGCGAAAGCGUGGGUAGCAAACAGG